CCUACGGGUGGCAGCAGUGGGGAAUAUUGGACAAUGGGGGGAACCCUGAUCCAGCCAUGCCGCGUGUGUGAAGAAGGCCCUCGGGUUGUAAAGCACUUUCAGUGAGGAAGAACGCCUGGUGGUUAAUACCCAUCAGGAAAGACAUCACUCACAGAAGAAGCACCGGCUAACUCCGUGCCAGCAGCCGCGGUAAUACGGAGGGUGCGAGCGUUAAUCGGAAUUACUGGGCGUAAAGCGCGCGUAGGUGGCUUGAUAAGCCGGUUGUGAAAGCCCCGGGCUCAACCUGGGAACGGCAUCCGGAACUGUCAAGCUAGAGUGCAGGCGAGGAAGGUAGAAUUCCCGGUGUAGAGGUGAAAUGCGUAGAGAUCGGGAGGAAUACCAGUGGCGAAGGCGGCCUUCUGGACUGACACUGACACUGAGGUGCGAAAGCGUGGGUAGCAAACAGGCUUAGAUACCCUUGUAGUC
rnacentral:rRNA from 1 species